GCAAAAUGAGCAAUUUGGUCAUCAUCAGAUAAGUCAUUUCCACUUACAUAAUCCAUCAUCCAAGUUGGUCGCUUCCUCAAUUGUGGCUCAUUAUUGGUUGGAUCAUCUGUGGUCUGAUUUUCACCAGAGGAUUGUAUUUGAUGAUUAAUCUCAUUGUCUGCAUUUGAGGAUGGCCCUUGUGAUUCUAUCAUGUCUCCAUCUUCA
rnacentral:lncRNA from 1 species